rnacentral:lncRNA from 1 species
AGUGAAACUCCAUCUCAAAAAAAGAAAGAAAGGAAACUCCUCAGGCCCAGGAAAACCUGAAUGGUUGCUCACUCUAAAUUGCAUUUAAAUAGAAUUUUAUAAAAUGCAAACUAAUCUGUUAAUGACAAAUUAUGUCAGGUAUUACCUAGGGAUAGAAGAUGGGGAGGGACCUGGGGAGUGAAGAAUUAUGCAGGGGCAAAAGGAAACUUCAGAGUGUGGUAGAAGUUUUAAUUAUCUUGAUUGUGAUGAUGGUAACAAGGAUGUAUGCAAACCUCAAAAGGCAUAAUAAUGUAUGCUUUAAACAUGCAUAGUUUUUUGUAUGUUAAUUAACCUCAGAAUGCUGUGAAAAAUAAAUAUACUGACUUGGCUGAAAAAAGAAAGAAAAGAAAGGAAGGAAGAAAGGAAGAAAGGAAGGAAGGAAGGAAGGAAAAUGUAGCAGUUGAACAUUCAAAAAAAAUGCAGUAUAUCUAAAACAAAGAGAACCAAAGAGAGAGAGAGAGAGAGAGAGCAAAAGAGUGAGAAAGAGAGAGCAGAGAGAAGCUGGAGAGAGAGACAAGGCUUGAUAGCCCGCAUUAAGAAUUGUAUUUCCUAAGUCCAUAAGAAAUCAUUGAAUGUGGAUUGACCAAUCCAUUUUUCAUAUAAUUUGAAAGAUCGUUCUGGUUAUUGUGUGGAAAAUUAUUUGAAGCAGCCAAACUUGGAAGUUGUGGAGACCAAAUGUAUUUGUCAGUAUAAGUUUUGUGGUCCUGUAGUAAUCAAUAUUCCCCGAUUCUCAGUGGCUCAAACAAUAAAAAUGUUUUUCUCAUUCAGGCUACACAUCUUUCAUGGAUUCUGGUCCACGUCGUCCUCACGCGGGGAUGCGUACUGACAAGUUUCCACCAUGAAGGGUUGUUGUUUACCCCAGCAGGGAGAGGAAAAUGGAGCAGAUCACUCACCAGCUCGUCACACAGCAGAGUGGCCCACGUCACAUCUGCUGAUAUGUUAUGGCCAAAGUACACGAUUAUCUCCAAGGGGCUGAGAGGUGAAAUACCGACAUUUGUCUGGAUGAAGAACCAGAAUAGUCAUAAACAUCCUAUGUACUACAGUAUUCUAGAGGUAACUGUUUGCCUAAAUCCAGCACUUCAGACUGGAAAAGCCUUUAUAAACAUUUGCUCACCAUUGGGUGUGAAAAAUAAUCCAGAAGUUUAAAGAGAAUGCUGUUUUCCACGAACUGUAAUAAAUGCUGAUGGAGUCCCAGGUAGAACGCAGCAAGAUGAACAUGUCUGAAUCUUAAUGUCAGCAUCUAGGAGUUCGACAGACAGGUGCUAUGAGAGAACGUGCAGACAAUCACAGGAAACUGAGGUACUUAUCAGCGGAUAUGUGUGUGGUGGAGUUGGAGGCAGAUGCCGAAUGAAUUCAGACACUCCUGGUCUCAUC